rnacentral:rRNA from 1 species
AUUGAACGCUGGCGGCAUGCCUUACACAUGCAAGUCGAACGGCAGCACGGGAGCAAUCCUGGUGGCGAGUGGCGAACGGGUGAGUAAUAUAUCGGAACGUGCCCAGUAGUGGGGGAUAACUGCUCGAAAGAGCAGCUAAUAACGCAUACGACCUGAGGGUGAAAGGGGGGGAUCGCAAGACCUCUCGCUAUUGGAGCGGCCGAUAUCAGAUUAGCUAGUUGGUGGGGUAAAGGCAUACCAAGGCAACGAUCUGUAGUUGGUCUGAGAGGACGACCGGCCCCACUGGGACUGAGACACGGCGCAGAUUCCUACGGGAGGCAGCAGUGGGGAAUUUUGGACAAUGGGCGCAGGCCUGAUCCAGCAAUGCCGCGUGCAGGAAGAAGGCCUUCGGGUUGUAAACUGCUUUUGUCAGGGAAGAUAUCCUCUAGGUUAAUACCCUUGGGGGGAUGACGGUACCUGAAGAAUAAGCACCGGCUAACUACGUGCCAGCCGCCGCGGUAAAAC